rnacentral:lncRNA from 1 species
UUUUUUUUUUUUUUUUUUUUUUUUGAGGCGGGUUCUCUCACUGAACCCGGAACUCACCAAUUUGCCUAGACUGUCUGGCAGUUGAUCUUCAGAGAUUUUCCCUUCUCUGCCACCCCACUGCUAAAAUGACAGGUGCACAUCACAUGCUUAGCCUUUUACAUACGUGACCCAAACCCAGGAUCUCAAGCUUGCAUGGCAAGUAUGUGACCUCCUGAGCCAUCUUCUUCAUUCCUUUCCUUUUAAUUUUUUAAAAAUAGUAUCAUUUCUAGGGUGGGGAAUAUUUGGUGUUUAAGCCCAGAAUUCACAGAACUAGGCAAGCACUAUAGCGUUGGGUUUGCUCCUAGCUAAACAGGACCUGCUUUGCAAUCAUUUGCAUUCAGAGCUGGAUAUGGGAAACAGUUGGGAGCAAGAGAAAGCCCACUGUUAAGGGCCUCGACAGAGGAACUUUCCAGAAUGUGCUUUGUCUCUGUGCCUGCCUUAUAUUUGGGACUAUUCCAGAGUGGCUCAUGUUGUAGAGAAACAAUGACUCCAAGAGUCCUAUUUCUAGUUACCGUUUUUAGAUAACUGUCACUGCUGACGGCUUCCUAUGAACUAUGAGUUCUAGAGUUGACUCUAUGCUAUUUGGGUGGAUCAUGGAUGGAAGAUGAAUGUUGUCCAAUCUGAUUGACUAUUUCAUCACUUACUCUUGAGUGAUAUCUACUUAGCACCAGUUAUCAAAUAACCUGAAUGAUGCCCUAUACUAUAAAAAUACUACACACACACACACACACACACACACACACACACACACAUAUGUAAAUUUAAUUUUCAUAAGGAUGGAAACUGAGUCAUGGACAGCUUCUGAUUGGUCUGUGGCAGAGCUGAUGCUCAGAACCAAGCUUGUAGGCCUUUCCAGCAUGUGCUAUAACUUUCUGCACUCUAUGAAGUCCUUCUACAGUUCUUCAAAACACCCAAUUAACAUGUUGCAGCUUUAUUUACUAGAAGAGGGCUUUCAGAAAACCACCUUCUUGAAAUCUGGAGGCGGGAAGCUUCAUUAGCUUCUGUGUGCAGAGCACCCCAGCCUACUCACUGGUUUCUCCUAUUGGGAAGAAGCAGGACGUGCCCAGCCACUGAGGGCAUUUCCAGGCUCCAUUAGCUGAAGCCUGCUGGGCCUGCCUCGGCAAAGGUACGAAGGCUCUUUACCAGACCCCGCCUUUCCAAAACCGCAUCCUAUUGCCCUGGGUUGUGAUUUAUUUCAGUUCCACUCCAAGGAGUGAAUUGAGGUCAGCUCUUACUCAAUCUGCAGGCUCCCCUCAUUUCAGCAUCUUUAAAAGAAGUUGGAAAGCAUGGUCAGUCGUUUCUGAACACAAGCCAACUCUGUAAGUCUCCUGUAGUCAAUACACAUCCUUCAGUCAUUUGCAAAUAGUCUAGAUGGUGGAGAAUUGGAGAAAGAAAAGACUGAAGCAGGCUUAUCAAGUUUAAAAAAAACAUAGAAACUGAAGUGAGAUUCCUAUGCCUUAAUAUGACCCACUCUACAACAGACGGUCCAUGGCGUUUAGUACAGUCAAAAGAUACAACUCCCACCUCUAACUAGUUCUGACCUAAAGUACUUUCAUCACUCAAAUAGAAUACUCCUCCUUAAGCAGUUACUGCCUGCUUCCCCUCCUUCCACUCCUGUACAUCACCAUUUUUCUCUCUGUGUUUAUGGAUCUGCCCUUUCUGGAUGUGUUGUAUAAAUGGGAAUCAUUUGUGUGACUUUGGUGUCCUGCCUUAUAGGUAACUAAGAAGUAUCCCUCUGUGUAGUGCUGCUGCCAUCUUCCAUUCAUGGACAUAUUUCAGUAUGUCUUUUGGUUGUUCCGAGCAGUAUGGUUAGAAACAGCUCUCCACAAGUAUUUCCUUGAGUACCCGUUUUAUGUCAUUUUGUGAAUAUUAUUAAAAACAGAAUAACUGGUGUAAGGCAAUUCUGUUAACUUUGGAAGAAAUUAGAACCAGGCAUGGUGAUGCACACCUACAAUGCCAAUACUUGAGAGGUGGGGGAAGGAGGGCAGUGGCUCUAGAUCAUUCUCGGCUACACAGUGAGUCUGAGACCAGCCUGUGGUGCUGGGAUACAGACUGUACAGAGAUCCCGUUAAGAGCUAUAACAUGGAAAACUGAUCUUGAUAGAAGGCUAUAGGGCAAACAUCAUGUGGACGGGAAAGGAUCUAGCAGGCCGGAGCCUCACCGGAAGAACCCAGGAGUAUGUAUUCUAAAGGCCAGCACUGAGUGACC